UGCCGUUGUGGGGAAGUGGGGUUCGCUCAUUAUUUCCUGCUCCUUCCCUAGGCCCGUGGGUGUCGAUAUUGGGGGAGCGGAGAUUUUCUCUUGGGUGCUGGUCACGCCCCCUUAAGACUGUCGGGAUCGUCACUAAGAACCCCGCCGUGAAUUCCGGGGGUGGGGGAGGCUUCGGGCCUUCUUUUGGUGGGGAAUGCUUGGAAGCUGCUCCUUGUUGGAAAAAGCCCUUUUUAGGGGAUUCCGGGUGAUGUUUCCGCCUGUUGAUGCCCAUCUUCCUCCCCAGCCCCUUCCCGCUUCAGGCAUGGGUAGCAAGAAACUAAAACGAGUGGGUUUAUCACAAGAGCUGUGUGACCGUCUGAGUAGACAUCAGAUCCUUACCUGUCAGGACUUUUUAUGUCUUUCCCCACUGGAGCUUAUGAAGAUGACUGGUCUGAGUUAUCGAGGUGUCCAUGAACUUCUAUGUAUGGUCAGCAGGGCCUGUGCCCCAAAGAUGCAAACGGCUUAUGAGAUAAAAGCACAAAGGUCUGCUGAUUUCUCACCAGCAUUCUUAUCUACUACCCUUUCUGCUUUGGACGAAGCCCUGCAUGGUGGUGUGGCUUGUGGAUCCCUCACAGAGAUUACAGGUCCACCAGGUUGUGGAAAAACUCAGUUUUGUAUAAUGAUGAGCAUUUUGGCUACAUUACCCACCAACAUGGGAGGAUUAGAAGGAGCUGUGGUGUACAUUGACACAGAGUCUGCAUUUAGUGCUGAAAGACUGGUUGAGAUAGCAGAAUCCCGUUUUCCCAGAUAUUUUAACACUGAAGAAAAAUUACUUUUGACAAGUAGUAAAGUUCAUCUUUAUCGGGAACUCACCUGUGAUGAAGUUCUACAAAGGAUUGAAUCUUUGGAAGAAGAAAUUAUCUCAAAAGGAAUUAAACUUGUGAUUAUUGACUCUGUUGCUUCUGUGGUCAGAAAGGAGUUUGAUACACAACUUCAAGGCAAUCUCAAAGAAAGAAACAAGUUCUUGGCAAGAGAGGCAUCCUCCUUGAAGUAUUUGGCUGAGGAGUUUUCAAUCCCAGUUAUCUUGACGAAUCAGAUUACAACCCAUCUGAGUGGAGCCCUGGCUUCUCAGGCAGACCUGGUGUCUCCAACUGAUGAUUUGUCCCUGUCUGAAGGCACUUCUGGAUCCAGCUGUGUGAUAGCUGCACUAGGAAAUACCUGGAGUCACAGUGUGAAUACCCGGCUGAUCCUCCAGUACCUUGAUUCAGAGAGAAGACAGAUUCUUAUUGCCAAGUCCCCUCUGGCUCCCUUCACCUCAUUUGUCUACACCAUCAAGGAGGAAGGCCUGGUUCUUCAAGCCUGUGGAAAUUCCUAGAGACAGAGAAACGUGCAAACCUGUUCAUCUUGCUGAGAAAAAUCCACUUUACCACCACAGAAACAAAAUAUUGGGAAAGAGUCUUGUGCAUCCAAAUCGUGGAAGUGUGAGUCUGUGUGGAGUGAGACAGCCUGAGCCCACCUCUGCCCUGGCCGCCACGCUCUAGGUGAGCAGUCAUGCAUCCAUGCAUUCAUUUAUUCCCUCAACAAAUAUUCAGUGAGUACCCAUGUGGCACACUCUCUUCUAGAAACUGGAGAUACAAGGUUAAAAAAAAAAGGACACUAUUCCUUCUUACCUUGUUUGCAUCUUAGUAUGGGUGACAAUAAGCAAACAAACCAACAAACAUACAUGCUAGUGAUCAAUGCCUUGAAAAAACGUAAGCCGGGUAAGAGAUGGCAGUGAGGGGUGCACUAUUUUACACACAGUGGGGUCAAGAAGACCUCUCUGAAGAGGUGACAUUUGAGCAGAGAUUGGAUGAAGAGAGAGUAAGCAAUGUUCAACCCAGAAAGAACAUUUCAAGCAGAAGGAAUAGCAAGGCCUGGGACAGGGACAAGUGUGAUGUGUUUGGGGAACAGUAAGGAAGCCAGGGACUGGAGUAGAGCAAACAAAGGGGACAACUAUAGUACAUUAGGUCAGAGCAGUGGGCAGGGGCCAGCCAUGGAAGUGGUGACUUCGGAUUUUGUUCUGAGCCUCACAGGAUGUCCUUGGAGGUUUUGGAGGGGAGUGAUGCAGCAAAGAUGAACAUUCAGAGGCUAUAGAGAGGCUUGUGGAACAACAAUGGGCCAGCUUGGGUUAAACAUUGGCAUUCAGACACAUGGCAAUGGUAGCUGCACCUCAUGGGUGGUGCUUCCAGUGGGAACUUUUGAGAGCUACAUGUCUCGACAGGGUGAGGCUGGGCCUGGGAGCUCACUACCUCUACCAAUUAGUGUUAAGCCCAGAAAAAGGAAAUGCUGCUGUUUAAAUUGUAGGGUUGGAACCUGUGAGUCAUAGAACCCUCAGCCAAAUGGACCAUGGUGAGCUCUGGAAGUUACUGGUGCAGGGUCUGAAGCCCCCAGCUGGGUUGUUUUGCCACCCGUGGGGGCUUCCAGACACAUUCGGAAGAAGCAGACUCAAAUACAAACCCCAUAUUUAGGGGGUCCAGCUUUAUUUUUGGCUGAUUGUAUACUGUCUGGUCAGUUUCCUUCCCAGUGUCUUUUACUUUGGAAAAGGCAGGCCACCUCACAGGGGUGCAGAGAGAAAAGGGGAAACACAUGGAUUUGGGGCUCAAUCAACCCCAAAACACAACCCUCACCUCAUUACUCCGCUGGCUUUUGGAAAAGCUACUGAACCUCCUAGAGCUGUACUGGUCAGUGGAGUAGCUGCCAGCCACGUGGCUAUUUACAUUUAAAGCAAUUUAAGUGAAAUAAAAUUUAAAAAUUUGGUUCCUCAGUUUCACUUACCAUAUUUCAAGGGCUCAAUAGCAACAUGGGGCUUGUGGCUACCUAUUGGACAGCGAGAUGUAGAAGGUUUCCCUCGUGGCAGGAAGCUCUGUUGAACAGUUUCACUUCUUUAAAAAGGAAGCGAUCCAUGAGAACUGAACAAGUUAACAGGCACAAAGCACAGGGUGCUCUGCCGGUCUCACUCCAGGUGCUCAGCAAAUGGUAGUCACUAUGAUUGAUCAUGUGAAUUUCCAUCCUCGCUCUGCUACCGACUAGCUACGUGGCAAGUCAUUCAACCUCUCUGAGCCUCUGUUUUCUGAUAUGUAAAAUGGGAAUAAAAAGUACCGCGGAGGACAUUCCCACAGCAUAACAUGAUCCUUGUUUUUCUCCGUUCUCUCUGGACCCAUGAGAACUUCCUUACCAACCCUCAGCUGACUUAUCUAGACCAGAGCUUGGAAACUCCAGUCUUGCAGCACUUAGCAAGAAGCAGGACCUACUGUGGCCCAAUAAUGCAAUCUGGAGAUUUUGGCCAUUCUGAAGGGUUUGACCAUGGCUUGUGGUAUGGAGUUCUAAUGAAACGAGUGGACAAAUCUGAUCAAGAAAAAUAAUCAUUUGACUCAAGUCGGAUAUUUACCCUGCUCUGCUCUGAAAGACAGCAUGCCUUGGGUUCCCCAGCUCCAGGCCCCAGCUUCCCUGGCUAAACGUUCCUCCUGUGGGCAGGGCUCUCAGAGAGGGGCUCCCAAGCAACCCUUCUAGUGUCUCAGCCUCCAAUCAGUUUUCCAUUUUCCACUUGGGGUUUUUGUUGUUGUUUAAACGUUUAUUAACUGCAGGCAUUUGGCGGUGGAAGUUGGGAUUUGCCUGAGGCUGGGAGGAAGUUAUUUGCCAGGCCAGGAUAAGGUGUGGUUUAAGGGUUGAAACUGGAAUCCCCUUCACCUGCUUAAUGCAUUUCAGGGGAGAUUUGUUUUCAACUCCCAAAUUACCUGCUAGGAAUUCUAGACCUGAGAUCCUAUCUCACUGGCUGUUUUCUUUCAUUUUCGAAAAGAAAUACAAAGAAAAAAGAGUGAAAGGCUCAAACACGACAUUCUUGCACUCUCUUAAAUAAAAUUACAUACAGUGAGUGAUUUUCUUCCCUGUCUUCUAUAAAGCGGUAAGGGGAGGGCCUGACCUAGCCCGGAAAACUUCUGUUCCUGGGGAGGUGCGGCUGGGAGCUGCAGAGAGCAGGUGAUACUAAAGACAUUUCUUACGUGCUUAUUGGCCAUUUGUGUAUCUUACUGAAAUAUAAUUUAUUUUCAAAUAUUAAUUUUAUGCCCAGCAAUCUUACUAACCUUUCCUUUAGUUUAAUAAUUUAUUUGUAAUUUUGGGGGUAUUUUCUAUGUACAAAUCACACAAAGGUUAUGGGGAGUGUUAAAACUCAUAAUGGAGUCUCCAGUAAAGUCAAGUUCAGAAGAAACAGCUAGAAGGACCUGUGUCCAAGCUUGUGGAGGGUAAGUGAGCAAGAAGUUGCCUAAAUGAUGGUAUAACUAUGAACAAGAGGACAAAGAUAGACAGCGAAGACAUUUCAGACAUAUGGACCAAUAAUUUCUUUUCUUCCUUUCUUUCUUUUGUUUUUUUUAGAGAGACAGGGUCUUCCUCCCUCUGUCAUCCAGGCUAGAGUGCAGUGGUGCAAUCAC